CACUCGUUUUUUUGAGUUUAGUUAGCUGUCCACGCAUGCAAUGAAUGUUAAUUUACACAAACACUUCAUUGUUUAUUUAAUGGAAGAACUUUUAACUGUACCAAAGGAAUGCAAUAGCAAGAACCUCUUCUAUUUAUUCCACUUCUUUGGCUGAAAGUCAUCUGAGGCCAGUCUUCUGUGGUGAAUGGCAAACUCCAACCAGGCAGUUUGGAGGCUUCAGUGAGUCACUACCAGAAGGUUACGAGAUGGACCGGGGGCUAGCUGGUUAGCGUGCUAACUUCAGUAGAAGAAAAUACGUGAUAGAGACAAGAGGAAUGAAGUUUGAUGGUGAACUCACAAUGUUUCCUCUAGGACUGGUGUGAAGAAGAAGACGAUGAUGAGGUGUGAGGCCUGAUGCGGAGCCAAUGAGUUGCAGAUGCUGCAAAUGUGAUGUUUCCCUCCUCCAUAUCUCCUGCAGGAUCUCUGAGAGGGGAAAUAUGCUUUGCAAAUCAGAGGAAUGGUGCUCACUGGCGCAGAGUGACCUGUGGUCUUCUUUCAUACAUCAUAAAAGCCUGCAAGGUGUCUUCCCCAGUCAGAUUGGGCUUUUCAUCUUCUAUCGCACUUUCUGUAGUGCCUUUGUCGUUUUCCUCGCUCUUCUUGUCCCCAAGGAGACCUUUUUUUUUUUUUUUAAAUAGCAGAGUUGAGCUGGAGGGGGUUUUCCAUAUUAUGAAUUGUAUGCUGGUUCCAUUGCUGACUAUUUCAAUGCUUUUGAUUUACAGCAGAAACUUGUUGUUUGUUCUAGUUAUCUAAACAUGACAUUCAAUUAAUUGCAUAUUAAUUAAGUUAUAUUGUAAAAGGGAAUCUUGUGUCUGUGGUUAAUGUACUGUAGGACAAUAUGAACUGGAAUAGCAUUUGGUAAUCCUAUUGAACAUGGAAUAGGUUAUUUGUAUUGUCUUAAGAGAUUCUGGCAUCCUAAAAAACCCUGUCAGCUAGAAAUGAUAUUUAUAUACAACUCAAUUGCAACAGCAAAUACAUUUUAAAUAAAACAUAAUCACAACCAGAUUACAUUUUCUCUUAAUGUAAUAAGGAUAUGUUGUUAGCUUAUGUAUUUGGAA